UUUAUCAUUGGCUUGAUAUUUGAUGGAUUGAAAUAUUUUAAAAUUAUGAAAACUCAUUUAUAUAGUGUUUUAAGGUAUUCAGAGUACUUCCCUCACAAUACUGCAGUGAUGUAGUCUACUGUGUCAAGUUGCUAUGUUACAAAGGCUAUAAAUAUAAAUAAUAGCUUUGGUCUUUCCAAGUUCCAGAAUGUCAGGAGUUAUGUAGAAUUGAAAAUCUGACCUAGCUUGUUUAAGCACUGCCCACCACACUACCCCUCCACAUCUUCUCUACUAUAUUGACUCCUAUGCACCUCUUCAUGUUAGAUAAUUUAUUCCCUUUAUCUUUCCUUUUAUCUUCCCUCAGUGUGUUCCCCUUUCUUGUUCCUUAAUUCUUUAUAUCAUCCUAUCCUUUUCAACUUACUCCCUUCUGUCUAUGCAUAGUCCUCACUACCCUAACAGUGAUAAAGUUAAAUAUCUUAACUAUCAUUAGUAUCACAGAUAUCUUCCCUAUCUUAAUUAUCACCUUAUAAUGACCUAGCUUGGUUAGCAUCCCUUAUUGAAAUAAUUUGUGCUUUCAUCAAUAUUUGAAUUAUGGGUGAAUUACGUAGGUCAGUGAGUUGUGAUGGCAGUACACCAAGAAUCAGGAAAUUAAGUAAUUUUCCAAAAAAAAUCAAAUAUGUGGAAUAAUUGUUUUCACACAGUGCUUUUUGUAUAUUGAGGACCAGCAUUUCUUAAGAGGGGAACCCAGGGAGCCCCUGAGAUUCUUUUCAAGGGGUUCACUAUGUCAAAACUAUUUUUAUAAUAAUACUAAGACAUUUUAAUUUCCAGCAUGGCAAAUAGCAGUAGACAUAACCCACAUAAACAAAAGCAAUUGGGAUCUUCAGUAAUUUUUAUGAGUAGUAAAGAGUCAGUCCUGAGACCAAAAUGCUAUAACAAUUCAAUAGAAUUUCAAAAACAGAAAAUACGAUAAUUAUAAUGAUAGAGACUGGACCUUUGAUUUCAUAUGACUCCCAGUUGAAGAAAUAAAUUCUACCUGUGGAGGUCAGCACCACCUCUGAAGCUUAAAAUUUUGCCUAGCCCUAAUAUACUGAGAGGUUAAAUAAUUUGCCCAGCAUCACAUAGCUAAUGAAUACCAAAGGAAAGAUCUCAUUUCUAGGUCUACCUGAUUUUGAGACCAGAUUUCUAGCCACAAAAUCAUAUAGCUUCUCACCAUAAUUGUAAUGUUUUAAAACUAAAAUUUAAAGUUAUCAAAUUAUGGAGGGAUAUGGAUCAGAUAAUAUAUGAACAUAUAGAACUUGCCUGAAAGCAAUUUUAUGUUGUUUGUGGAAAGCAUAAUCCUUCCACCACCAGCACUUCAGAUGAUUCACAGAUUUUUUUCCAUCAUGUUUGAAAAAGAUAAUUCAUAUAAUUGGUCUGGCAGUGCUAGCACCAGUCCUGAAAGAUGCUUUUGGAAGAAGCAGGAGGUGUUAUAACGUGGUCAAUCAAGCUUUAAUUUAAUGAGGUUGUGCCAUGUACUGUACACUGUUUUAAAUGGUCUUGAUGGUGCUAAUUAGGUUUGUAAUAUAUUUGAAAACUGAAUUUAUCUAGGGCAACUAAAAGGGAUAAGUAAAUGGCUCAGUGGAUAAAGUAUUGGGCUGGAAUCAGGAAGACACAAUUUCAAAUCUAACAUCAGAUGCCACUGGCAAUGUGAUCCUGGGCAAGUCACUUAACCAAUUUGCCUUAAUCCCUGGAGAAGAAAAUGGCAAAAUACUCCUGUAUCUUUGCCAAGAAAACCUUAUGGACAAUUUGUCCAUGGAAGUCAUGGAGUCAUGAAGAGUUGAACACAACUGACCGACUGAACAACCAAGGGCCACUAGUAGAUCUCUUUUGAGUCAUGAUGGUGGUAUUCUCCCACAAUGACUUGUUUGCUCACAAUACAUUAGAAUACUUCUGAAUGUAUGUUCCAUUACCCUUAACAUCUUAACCUGCUGUCACUUGGCUGUUAUGGACAUUGAUACUUUUUCUCUGGCAAUGAUCAAAUUAAGGCAAAGUAUUUCUUACUUAAUUACCUGCAUCUGCAUAAUGGAAACAUUUUUCAGGCUGAGUGUCCAUAGAAGAGAAGCCAUGAUGGUAUAUAUGUUCAAGGACUGCCAGGUAGCACAGUAUGAUAACACCAGGCCUGGAGAUGGGAGCACCUCAAGACACUUCCUAGCUACAUGAGCCAGGGAUUCAAACAACUUCUGAACCACCACUUUCCAACUUCACUUAUGAUAAGUGAUGAAAGGUGAAAAGAGAACUGGCUAACAGGUGGGAAUUUAAUAGUAACUCACAUCACCAGGUAGGUGAUAUAUGCCUAUAAUUCAGAUGUAGGUGGUAUAUGUCCAUCACUCCACAUAUGCUUAUUAAUGUUAUUAAAAUUAUAACUACAUUAGUUUGUGCCUAACUAUAAGUUAGUACACUUUUAAGUAUGAAACUAGUAAUGCAUUGAUUACAAAAGGUACUAUUAUAAUAUAGUACAAUAGAGCAAUGAAAAUAUAGCCCAACAAACUCUAGCCAGUAAACAGCUAUCCUGUUGACAGAAUAGUAUAUAAAUACAUAGAAAAAGGAUAAAUGACUGUAGGACUAGAAGAGCUGAAACAGAUUCCAGUAUCAAAAUAAAGCUACUAAUCUCAAUGACUAGUAUAGUAAUUCAGAAAUAUAUUGUAAUUAUUGUUAAAUUUUAUAAUUUAUUAGUUUGGCACAAUCUCAUUAUGUUACAAUAAUCUCUGAAGAUAAAAAUUGCCGGAUAGAAAAAUAUUUCUUCAAAAUUAUUUCCCAAGAAAUGACUGAUCCCUGUUUUUGCAAUAAUAAUACUUUGAAUUUAUAUAGCAUUUUACAAAGUGUUUUUCAUUGUCUAAUUUUAUUCCUUUUCUCAACAAGCUUGUGAGUAGGUUAGGACAGUUAUUAUUAUGUUUAUUUUCUAGUUGAGGAAGCUGAGGUCCAGAGAAGUUAACAGAAUUAUCACCAGGUUAUGAGAAGUUUAAUGACAGAGCCAGGAUUAGAACCUGGGUCUUCCAAUUCCUGGUACAAUGAUCCUUCUACCUUAUCACAUUAACUUUUUUUUUUUCUGGAAGAUGUGUUACUGGUAUUUUCCCUUAACUUUUUCAACUUCUAGGACCACUCAAAACCAUUAGGGCUCUCUUAAUGGUGACUUGAUAAAAUAGCUCUAUUUAGAUAUUUGUCAGUUUCCACAUGCGCUUUAUAGACUACAAUUUUUUCCCUUCUCGUUUUCCUUAAUUUUUCUACCAGGUGGGUCAACUAUAUCAGAAAUGCCUAUUAUAAUAUUAGUUUAAUGAAAAAGUAAAAUGUCUGGUCAGUUUUAGCAGGAUGUAUAUUAUGUGUCUCUACCGAUACAAAAUAAGACUUAUUUUAUAAAAUAUUCUUGAGUUUAAUAGAUUUUCCUUUAUAUAUAACUUAUAUUCCUGUGCAUACACAUACAUGUAUAUGUGUAUACACUUCUUUAAAACUCCAUAUAUAAUCAUAAGUAAGCUUAAGAACAUAAUUAUGUCCAUUGGUAUUGCUCACACUUUAAAGCUGACGUAGCUAUUAUCAAUUAAAUGUUCAUUUCCCAGGUUUAAAAUAGAUGUGCUGUUGAGAAACAAAUCAUUUUUACUAACAAAAUAAAGUUAAAAGCAUUAAAAGAGUUUAAUUUAAAGGAAUGCUAUGGCUAAUUCUUUUGAAGUAUGGAAAAAUUAUGUUUUGUAAAUAAGAUUUUUAUGUAUUAUGUUUACAUUCUAUCACACUAAUAUCAUAACUGUGAUGAUUCAGUUUUGUAUUUUCAUGGAAAUUUUUCAAGUUCUUUGACAUCAUUACAUAAUUUUAUUAAGGAAUAUGCUAUUUUUGGAUGACCAUCACAUAAAAAGGAAAUUCCUAACUAAAUAGCAAUAAAUUGUUUUAAUAAAAUGUAUUAAUUAUUGCUAAAGGUAUCAGUGAAAAAAAGAUCAGAUUGAUCUGAGGAAUGAACAUAAUUUAUACAAAUGCAUUGUUUCACAUCUUUAUUCUGUGAAACAUAUAAGGGCUCCUUCAUAUAGGUUAUCUUUGUUAAUUUCCCCAUCAUUCUCAUUACAUAUAAGAAUGUAGUCCUUAAUAAAUGGUAGUCAAGUUUCUAGGAGUUAGAAUUCUAGCAGCAAUGUUAAUAUGCUGGAAAACACUAAUAAUAAUAUUAAAAAUCUUACUUCCAGUUGGUUGCUGUCGAGAUGCUUCUUCUAUUAACUCCUUAAGCUUCUUCUUGAGUUCUCUGCUGGUUUUCUUAUAGAAAUAAAGAUCUUUUUCUAGCAGCUGAACUUUAUCCUCAUAAACCUUUGAAAUUUCCACAAUACAUUCUCCAUCUUGGUCUAUAAAACACAAAUUUGAAUAUCAAAUUAAAUCAUAUGCAGCAACUAGACUAUAUAUAGAUUUAAUAGCUUUGAGUUAUUAAAACUGCACUAAGGCAGUAUUUGAGAUGUACAAGUCACUUAGCAUAUUAUGUUAUCCCAAAGCCAAUGCAUUUCUGAAAUACGAAUGAAUUUGUUUCUAGUAUAAUUUGAAUUCUGGCCUCAAAAUUAUAAUUUCUACUGAAUAUUAGAGUUUAUAGUGUCAUACUUCCAGGAUAAUGUUCUUAACUCACCAAAGCCCAGUUUGUUGCCCUCUAGAAGAGGUUUACUCUCUGAACAAAUACUGGUUUAGUUGGUUCAUUUAUUUGUUUUUAAAGUUGUCUUUGAUUAAUUAUAUAUAUUUUUUUAUUUUGAAAAAGAUUUCAAUAUUUCUUGGGCUAGAGUAAGUUCUUUGAACAAAAUAGAUUAUAACCUGUCUUUAUUUGAGUGGAUUUCUAGAUACCCUCCCACCCCCAAAUCACUCUAGGUAUAGCAUUCUAGUGAUGAGCCCCUCAACACUCAGCUUACACUGAUGAUGCUCACAUGACUAGACAGUCUCUCUUGUCAGUCUGAAUGGGUGAUGGUGCUUCCAACUUGUUGUUAGGAUCAACUGAGAUAGACUUGGAAAAACUAAAGUCAUCUCCAUGCCAUGAUUUGAGGCAUUAAAAAAGGGUUUUAGAGGACAUAUGCCAAUUUUGCACUUUCAAAAUCCAACUUUGUAAUAAUAUUUAUCUAGUGCUUUGAGUUUUUCAAAAUGCUUUACAAAUAUGCCAUUUUAUCCUUAUAACAACACUGGGAGAGGUGCUCUUAUUAAUCCCAUUCUACAGAUGUGUCAGCUGAGGCAGACAGAGGUUAAGUAAUUUGCCCUGGAUUACCCAGCUAGAAAGUUAUGUAAACCACACCCAGUUUUUUAUUACUAUGUCUCUCCUGCAUAUAUUACUGAAAUGGAUUUGUAAUGACAGAGUUUUAAUAAUUUUUAAAGUUUUGAAAUAAAACUUAUGGAAAGUAUAACUAUAUGUAAUAUAAAAAUGGAAUCUGAUAUUUAGCUUACAUAUUGUUUAAAAGUAGAAAUAAUUUAAAAUAUUUAAAAUACCCCUUUCUAAACAUUUAAAAUAAGAUAAAAUCCAUUGACUUAACAAGACCCCAGUAAUGGCCAUGUUUGAAUACAGUAAAUUAAAUGAUCCUGACAAAAAUCUCAUCUCAUAAGUAACUGGUUGCUGCAAUUACUGGUCACAGGACUAAUACACAAACAGGUUGUUUUAAAAUUCCAAAUCAUCAUAGCUUUCUUGACUGACUGCUUACUCACAUUACUUCUUUUGGGACCCUCUUAGUAACUCAUUGCCAGCUUCAUUUUCAGGGGAAUCAGGAUUAAACAGUCAAGAAGAACCAGGUGGUCCCUGGGCAGAGGUUUUUUUAGUAGGGUAACUCUUUACUGUCCCUUGACCAGGUAAUAUGAUGAUCACCUGCUGAAGAAACUAUCAAAACUGACUGAUGGGUUGCCAGUGUGUGCUCAGAAUAGGUACCUAUUAAUUUGUGAACUAUAUCAUUUCUAAUCAACUGGAAAUAUGGUGAAGAAUUAUAAGAGCAAUUUAGCUGGAGAUUUUGAUAACUGAUCUCUUGCAUCAUAAGUUGAAAAUUAUUUGUCCUCUUCUGAACAUACACACUUUCUAUCUGGGCCAGGCUAAAAGUAAUGACUGCUAUUAAAAUAGUAAUUUAAAAACUGUAUAUUUAACAGUUGUGCAUGACUUUGUCUCUUGUACUCUUAUAGCUCCCUACAUGGCUUCUUCUUUUUCUUAUGCCACCCCCCACUAGUAUUCAUACAUUUCACUGAACUUAAAAAUACCUUUGAAAUAUUGCAAGAGCAACUGCAUCUUUUGUUCAUGUUCCUUCCGUUGAAGAGUUAACUGUCUGUCACUCUGCAGCUUGAGACGUUCUACUGCAGACUCCAAUUCACGAACCAUACUGGCUUGCUCUUGAACCUUCAUUUUAAUUUCUUCAUUUUGUAACUGUAGUUUACGCUCAGCUUCUCGCAAACUAACCACCUGCCAAAUAUAUAAUAUUUUAACUUUUUACUUAUGUUUCAGGUUACCUGAUCAACCUGUUUUUUUCCUUAGCACAAAAGAUGACUAUCUGGAGUCACCAUAGUGUCAAUGGACAAACCAAGGUAUUUUGGUUCUUAUAGGAUUGAUCUAACAUCAAAAAAAGAAUUUAUCAUUUAGUAGCAUUUUUAUAAAUCUGAAUUGGUAUUGAAUUUCAUUCAAUUCAAGAAACACUAAGUGCCUUCUUUGUGCAGUGUCUAACUCAUAACAGGUGCUUAAUAUAUUUAAUGACUAACUGCAAUGCAUUAGGCUAGGCACCAGUGAUACAAAGAUGGAAUCAGACACAGUUCCUGUCAUUAAAGGAGUUUAAAAUUUAAUGGGAAAUGGCAUUUGUACAAAAUUAUAAUACAAAGUAGAUGGUGAGUACAAAGGGAAAGAUCAUAUAGUGUGUGGAGAAAUUAAAUGGAGAUUACAUCUAGAUUUUGGGUAGGGGGAACUAUAUGGGAGGCUUUAAGGAAGUUGGACCAUGUUUGUAUUAGGCCUUGAAGAGAUUUCAGCAGGUGUAAGUAGAAGGGAGGAGAGGAAUCCAUUGAAAGCUUGAGAUUUGACAUGAGCAAGAGGCAUGGAAGACUAAAGAUGACAUGAUAGGGAGAGGGGGAAGAAAUUAAACAGUUCGGUUUGGCUAGAAUACAUGUUGUAUAAAAAGGAGUACUGUGAAAGAUAGGUGGAAAGGUAGGCUGGAACAGACUGUGGAAGGUCUUGAAUACCGGGUUUAAAAAAUUUGUAAUCUACUUGUAAAUAAUUGGAGAAUAGAAAGGAAAAAAUAAAUCCAUAGUUUUAAGUUUGGGCUACUGAGAAGAUAGAUGGUGGUGCCUUCAAUAAAAGAUAGGAAGUUUAGGAGAAAAGGAAGGGUUUUCAGGAAUUAAGAGAAAAUUAGAUAUCCUUCAGAUAGUUAGAAAGAUGGGACCAAAGGAGAAGCCAAGAAAAGAGAGAAUAGAUUUGGGAGUUAUCUACACAAAAUUACUCACUGAAGCCAUGAGAAUAUAUGAAAUUGCCAAGGAAGAGGUCAAGGAUGUAAACAGAAUAUUAUCAGGGAGAAAUCCUGGGAUAAUGCCUAUCUUUAGCUAAUGGGCUUAAGGGGGUUGGGGAGAAGGAAUCAAAGAAGGAAAAUAGGGAAAAGUUAUUUAAAUAUUAUAUCAAAAACUGUCUCCUCCCUCCCAGUGAAUAUCUCUGGUAUGAUGGUUUCAGUUUGUAUUCUGUAUUUGUUUUUAGCACUAUUUCCCAGCUUAAGAUUAGAAAAUAGGUUUUUAAGUAGGGUGCCAUUUAAUUUCAUACUCUCUAAUAGGUUCUUUCUGUCCAUAGGCAUAUAACUGCUUUAAGCACACCACAAAAUAGCUACUCUAAAGGUUAGGGUGAAAAAUCUUACAAAAAUUUAUUGAUUGUCCUAUUCCAUAUUUUUAAUAAAUGACUAGAAUAAAGGUAUUAAUAAGGAUCACUCAAAAUCUCUAUAGCCUAGAAUGUUGAUCCUGAUGAAAUCUAAUAGGAAUAAAUAUAAAGUCUUUAUACUUGGGUUUAAAAAAGUAAACUUAAGAAUUAUAUGAUAGGGCAAUAUGGUAGGACAACAGUAUCUGAGGAAGAUCUGAUGACUUUAUAUACUACCUAAUAAAUGAACAGUAUAAUAUGACUACUUAUUAUGGGGGAUGGGUUACAUUAAAUGAAGUAUAAUGUCUAGAACUAGAUAAGUUUUCCUGUACUCUCCCCUGCUUAAGACAACUUUUGAGAUUUUUGGUCAAUUCUGAAUGUUACAUUCUAGGAAGGAUAUUGAAAAAGAUGGAGUGAUGAUCUCCAAGAAUGAAGAGCCAUAUGAGGAAAAGUUGAAUAGAAAUGUUUAAAUUGGAAAAAACUAAAGAAGACAAUUUGGGGGAGUUGUGAUGGUGAUAUUCAAGUAUCUGAUGGGUUAUCCUAUGGAAAAAAGGAUUAGAUAGGUUCCACCUGGCAACAAUGGGUAGAAUUUAAAGAAAGGGAAUUUUAGUUUUAAAAGUAGAAUUCAGAUAAGUCAGAUGGAAUGGCUUGGGAGCUGAUUAGUUUCCCUUCAUUAGAAGUUUUCAAUCAAUGCCUUGAUGACCACUUCUUAGUUAUAUCAUAGAAAGAAUUCUUGAUUAGGCCUAGAUGCCUUCUAACUUUUUUUUUCCAAUUCUGGUAGUCCACUCUGAAUACUGCCUUAUGCUGCUGCUUUCCAUAUAUGCUGAUUCAAAUUAUAUACCAAUCAUGAGUUCCUUCCCUUUUCCUUAAAACAUCAACAACAACAACAUCAACAACAACAACCUUUACCUUCUAUCUCAGAAUCAAUAUUGUGUAUCAGUUCUAAGCAGAAGAGUGGUAAAGGCUAGGCCAUGAGGGUUAAGUGACUUGACCAGAGUCACCCAGCUAGGAAGUGCCAGAGUUAUGAACUCAGGCCUUCCAGUCUCUAAGCCACCUACCUGCCCCCCCCCCUUUUACUUUUUAAAAGCCAAUCCUUGCAAAAGUGCAAAAUAAACCUUUAUUAGGCAUCUAGUAUGUGUAAAACACUGGAGAUAAAAAGAAACAUUGUAUACAACAUAGGCCCAUCACCUGGUAGCCAACUUGAUGAUAAAAAGCCUUAGUGAAUUUAAUUUAGUCCUUGGAAACUGGGAAUACAAUCAAUUCCCAGGCUAAUUGUGAAAAAGCCUCACCAGCGUGGCCAAACCUGUCACCCACUUGUUCUUGGGCAGCAUUGGGCAGCCACUCAUGUGCUUUUAUGAGGCAUCACCUAACUUGACUGAAAGCCCCUUUUUAUUCUCUAAAUCAUGAAGGAAUAUCUUUCCCAAAAAAAGGAUUUUUUUCCUUGUGGAUCUCUCAGAUUUCUGGGUAGUUUUUUAAGCAGUAUUAACACCAACAGUUGCAUGGGAAUUUGUUAACUCUAAUGUACUUUUUGCUAAGGGUUUAUAGGAAAAUACAAGACAAAUUGAUAAUCAUUGGCUACUAGGAUUUUCUAGGUCAUCCAUUACUAGAAUCUUUUUUAACUUUUUUUUUCCUGUAAUAACAUUUAAAACACUAAAUGUUCUAAACUUUCAUCAUUACAUUUCUUAAGAGAAUCCAUGUGUUAAUUUUGAUGUUUUAUUUUAAUUAUCUUUAAAUAUUUUUGUGUUACUUUGUUUUAUUAAACUUAAUAUUAAUUUACCCUUGUAAAACAAGAAAAAAUAUUAUAAAACUGAGGGCAGCUAGGUGGCUUAGUGGAUGGAAAGCCAGGCCUGGAGAUAAGGCCCUUGGUUCAAAUCUGGCCUCAGACACUUCCCAGCUGUGUGACCCUGGGCAACUCACUUAACUCUCAUUGCCUAGCCCUUACCACUCUUCUGCCUUGGAACUAGUACAUAGUAUUGAGACCAAGACAGAAGGUAAAGGUUUUUAAAAAUAUAUAAAAUCUUAUGAGUUUGUAUUACAUGGGAAGGAGAUGGAGAACUUUUUUGGGUUUGCAAAAAUAUUCAAACUAUAAAAUAGUAACAAGAUUUAAUAUUUUAUAUAUAUUCAAAUAAAGCUGAAAUGUAUAGUACUGUUCCUAGAAUACACACACCACUAAAAUUUCAUCCAAUUAUCUACCUAUAGGGGGAAGAACAAACCAGGAUCUGGUAAAGUACCUUAUUCGUCAUUAAUUCAGACUCAAAGUCCAAAUCUGUGAGGUUUUACUUUACUACAAAGAGCCAACAAAUACACAACAAUAGCCAAAGGGCAUAAUAUGAAUACUUUGAUACAUAUUUCCAAAAUUUUUCUAGUAUCACCUUAAUAUCAAUUUGGCUCAAAUAGAAAAGAUAUGAAGAUCUUACACAUUUUGGAUGUUUAGGUAAUGAUACAAUAUUUUAACAGCUUAAUAAGACUAAGAGAAGACAUCAUGAUUUCAUUGUGAAGCCAUGCUUAAGUUAGUAUCUGGUAAGGACUAUUAGACUUUUGAUAAAAUAUAGACUUUAGUCUAUUUGAAAAAAAAAUUCAAAUUAAAUAAUUUGGUUGAUGUCUCUUUGUAUAAACUAUGCAAUUAAAAAUUAAUUGCAAUUAAUGUUUAGUCACUCAAAAACAAACCUUGUUGAAAUAUUUGUAAAGAAUAGCUCUGAUUUCAGCAGGAGUCAGGGAAAUCAGUUUUUCCAUAACAUUUCCCUCUCUCUGGGUCAGGAUUUGGAAUGAGGCUCUAAUCGAGUGCUGACGACCUUGGAUGUUUUCACUCUUAUAAUCAAUUGCAGCUUCCAAUGCUUCAAUCCCUUCUUCAAGCUGGAAAAGAAGAUGUUCUUCCUAGAGAUAAAACACAAUAGGAACCACUGAAUUUUAAAUGAAAAGGCUCUAUAAUUUGGGCCUUGUCACAAUCUCACUAUCUUAGUUAAACAGAGCAAAACAUUUCCGCUACAUAUAUAUUCUACUGGGGAAAGAAAAAUACUUGUUAAGUAAAGUGGAACACUCAUCAACCUCUAGUUUCUCACAACAGAUUUAUCACUAUUGCUUUUCUGCAUUCUAGAGCCUCUCCCUUUUCUGUAGGGAUUUAGAUAAGAAAAUACUACAAAAGGUAAAAAUAUGAAGUACCUAGAGCCUUAAUAAGUAAAAAUCAAAGGGAACAUUUUAAAAGGGAACAGGAAAAAACAGUUUGUUUAUUUGUUCAGUCAUAUCUGACUCUUCAUGCCUUUCUAUCCUCCACUAUCUCCCAAAGUCUGUUCAAGCUUGUGUUCGUUGCUUCCACGAUACUAUCCAUCUCAUCUGCUAAUCCCUUCUCCUUUUGCCUUCAAUCUUUACCAAACAUCAGGCUCUUUUUCAGUAAGUCUCAUCAGAUGGCCAAAGUACUUAUGCUUUCACUUCAGUAUCUGCCCUUCCAAUGAGUAGUAUGAAUUAAUUUCUUUUAAGUAUUGACUGAUUUGAUUUCCUUGUCCAAGGAACUCUCAAAAGUUUUCUCCAGUGCCACGGUUCAAAAGCAUCAGCCAUCCAUUAUUUUGGAAAAGCCAUAGCUUUAACUAGAUGGACCUUUGUCAGCAAGGUGAUACGUUUUUUAGUAUGCUGUCCAGAUUUGUCAUAGCUUUCUUUCGGGAGCAAGUCUCUUUUAUUUUCAUGGUUGCAGUUGCUGUCUCCAGUAUCUUUAAGCCCAAGAAUAAUAAAUCUGACCCUGCUUCUGUUCCCCUUCUAUUUGUCAGAAAGUGAUGAGACCAGUUGCCAUGCAGCAGUGAGGACUUAAUAUAUGAUUUUUAAAAACUGGGAUUUUUAAAAAUCUUAGAAUAUGAUGGGAAAGGAAAUGUAAUAACUCAGAAUGAAUUUCAUGUUAACAAAAGAAAAACCUUGGGAAUCAUUAUUGUGGAAUACUUAGAAGUUUUUGACAACUGUCGUGAUAUGUUUUUGAAAUAUCACCAAUUUAUAUACUGUGACCCAAAGAAUAAAACUACUGCUCUGAGCCCUACCUAUGAUAGCACAUUAUUGACAAUGUAACUUACACAGUUGUAUGUGUAUAUGGGAUGGGUACUGUUAUAUGUUCAUACCUAAAAUAUUUCUUCCUUAAAAAAAAGCUCAGAAUUUUAAGUAUUUUUGAUUAAGCUGGAAAAUAAUAUGCUGACAUUUACAACUUUAUACUGGAAAUUCAAAAGAAAAUACAUUUUAAUUUAUCCCACUAGGUGUCUGAAUAAGACCUGUUUUACAAUGUAGUUUUUAAAAAUAUAUCCUGAGAGAGUAUGUGCUGAAAA